rnacentral:rRNA from 1 species
GUGCACGCCUCGUCUCUGUCUUCAUCUCUCUCACCCACCCCCUGUGCACCUCCGCGUGGGCUCCCGGGCCCACGUCCUUCAUCACGAAUGAACCCAUCGCAUGUGUCGGAACGUCUCGUUUGCUGUAGAAGCAAAAAAAAAUUGUACAACUUUCAACAACGGAUCUCUUGGCUCUCGCAUCGAUGAAGAACGCAGCGAAAUGCGAUAAGUAAUGUGAAUUGCAGAAUUCAGUGAAUCAUCGAAUCUUUGAACGCACCUUGCGCCUCUUGGUAUUCCGAGGGGCACGCCUGUUUGAGUAUCGUGAAAUCCUCAACCCGAUUCCUUUUCGUCGAGAAAGGGGAACGAGGGCUUGGACUUUGGAGGUCUUGCCGGUCCCCCCCGAUCGGCUCCUCUCGAAUGCAUUAGUGGAGCUCGUAAGCUCUCUCCGCCCCUCGGUGUGAUAGUCAUCUAUGCCGAUGCGUGAGGGAGGGAAGGCGCCGCUUCUAACGAACCAUGCCUCGCCUUGUGCGAGAGCGUGGAUAUGGAACCCUUUGAUCUCAAAUCAGGCGGGACUACCCGCUG